rnacentral:rRNA from 1 species
CCCGCUCAGAAACUCAAAGGAAUUGACGGGGGCCCGGCACAAGCGGUGGAGCAUGUGGUUUAAUUCGAUGAUACGCGAGGAACCUUACCUGGGCUCGAACGUAAGAUGACUGUAGGUGAAAGCUUACAUCUCUUCGGAGCAUUUUACGAGGUGCUGCAUGGUUGUCGUCAGCUCGUGCCGUGAGGUGUCGGGUUAAGUCCCAUAACGAGCGCAACCCCUAUCAUUAGUUGCCAUCAGGUCAAGCUGGGGACUCUAAUGAAACUGCCUACGCAAGUAGUGAGGAAGGUGGGGAUGACGUCAAAUCAGCACGGCCCUUACGUCCAGGGCUACACACGUGCUACAAUGGCCGAUACAGAGGGCAGCUACCUGGUGACAGGAUGCAAAUCUCCAAAGUCGGUCUCAGUUCGGAUCGGAGUCUGCAACCCGACUCCGUGAAGUUGGAUUCGCUAGUAAUCGCGCAUCAGCCAUGGCGCGGUGAAUACGUUCCCGGGCCUU